UGUUGUCCAAACUGGAAUUUGUCCCUGGACAGUAAGAAUGACCACUGGCUGUCUGUGGAAAUUGUGAAAAUGUGGUGCCGCCUUUCACGUCACCAGCCUCUAUUGUCCAUCUCCCCUGUCAGCUGGUGUCUGCAGUGCCGUACAUCUCUGAUGGUCCCUCUGGCCUAGUUGGCAAAAUCUGAUUCCAGCUUUUUUCAUGUUCAGAAGUGAAUUCAAAUGCUUAUUUGCACAGAAUAUACUGCCUUCGUGAACACAUUUUAUCAAGGAGCGGCUGAAGGACAGUCAGGCUACCUGAACUUCGCUGAGGAUACAUCAAACUGUGUGGACAGCGAGAGCAUCAACUGAAAUUCCUACCCUAAAAUACAAAGUGCUGUACAGAAGAGGAACAUUGUUAGAAAUCACAUCCUAGAUA